AACGAACGCUGGCGGCAUGCCUAACACAUGCAAGUCGAACGAGACCGUCGUGUCUAUUUGCGCACGGGUGCGUAACGCCUGGUAACCUGCCCUUAGGUUCGGAGUAACUCCCCUAAGGGUGUGCUAAGACCGCAUAAUGUCUUCGGGCCAAAGAUUUAUCGCCUUUGGGUGGGGCCUCGUUGGUUUAGCUGGUUGGUAGUGUAAAAGCAUACCAAGGCGACGAUCCAUAGCUGGUCUGUUAGGAUGAUAAUCCGCAAUGGGACUGCGACACGGACCAGAAUCCUACGGGAAGCAGCAGUGGGGAAUAUUGGAGAAUGAGCCCAAGCCCGAUCAAGCAACGCCGCGUGAGUGAUGAAGGCCUUAGGGUUGUAAAGCUCCUUUACACGGGAUGAUAAUGACAGUAACGGGAGAAUAAGCUCCGGCUAACUCCGUG
rnacentral:rRNA from 1 species